CUCUUAUCAAGAGAAGGCUGAGGGAAUGGCCCUAUGAAGCCCGGCAACCUAGCACGAGAGAAUGCGUUCUUUCGAGCCAAGGUGCUAACUCCAACAGGUAGAAUACCUGACAGAUAAGAG
rnacentral:ncRNA from 2 species